rnacentral:rRNA from 1 species
GAUGAACGCUGGCGGCGUGCUUAACACAUGCAAGUCGAACGGUGAAGGCGGAGCUUGCUCUGCUGGAUCAGUGGCGAACGGGUGAGUAACACGUGAGCAAUCUGCCCCUGACUAUGGGAUAAGCGCUGGAAACGGCGUCUAAUACUGGAUACGAGCUGCGAAGGCAUCUUCAGCAGCUGGAAAGAACUUCGGUCAGGGAUGAGCUCGCGGCCUAUCAGCUUGUUGGUGAGGUAACGGCUCACCAAGGCGUCGACGGGUAGCCGGCCUGAGAGGGUGACCGGCCACACUGGGACUGAGACACGGCCCAGACUCCUACGGGAGGCAGCAGUGGGGAAUAUUGCACAAUGGGCGAAAGCCUGAUGCAGCAACGCCGCGUGAGGGACGACGGCCUUCGGGUUGUAAACCUCUUUUAGCAGGGAAGAAGCGAAAGUGACGGUACCUGCAGAAAAAGCGCCGGCUAACUACGUG